ensembl:misc_RNA Metazoa_SRP Metazoan signal recognition particle RNA
GCUGGGUGUGGUGGUGUGCACCUGUAAUCCAAGCUACUCGGGAAGCUGAGGCAGGAGAAUUGCUUGAAUCUGGGAGGCAGGGGUUGCAGUGAACUGAGACCAUGCCACUGUACUCCAGCCUGGGCAAUAGAGCAAGACUCUGUCUCAA